rnacentral:rRNA from 1 species
GAACCAGCAGCUCCCAUGAGCCUUUUAAGAAGAGAGAAUGCCGGAAUGAGUAGCGAGAGUAAGGUGAGAAUCCUUACGGCCGAAUAUCCAAGGUUUCCAGGGUAAAGCUGAUCUGCCCUGGGGAAGUCGGGACCUAAGGCGAGGCCGAGAGGCGUAGCCGAUGGACAACAGGUUGAGAUUCCUGUACUACAGUAUGACAGAACUGUGGGGACGCAGAAGGAGAGCACUACCUGGAAUGGAAUCCAGGGGCAAGCACAGGAGGGGUACGGCUGGAAAAACCGCCGUGCAACCCAAAGGUGUGACGCAUACCGAACUAAAGUAGGGAAAUGUGUGAGCCGGCUGCCGAGAAAAGCCGCUAUUGUUUGUACUGUACCCGUACCGUAAACCGACACAGGUGGAUGAGGAGAGAAUCCUAAGGCCGACGGAAGAAGCAUUGCUAAGGAACUCGGCAAAAUGACCCUGUAACUUCGGGAGAAAGGGUGCCUCGAAAGAGGCCGCAGAGAAUAGGCCCAAGCAACUGUUUAGCAAAAACACAGGUCUAUGCAAAACCGCAAGGUGAAGUAUAUGGGCUGACGCCUGCCCGGUGCUGGAAGGUUAAGGGGAGAUGUCAGGAGACGAAGCAUCGAACUUAAGCCCCAGUAAACGGCGGCCGUAACAAUAACGGUCCUAAGGUAGCGAAAUUCCUUGUCGGGUAAGUUCCGACCCGCACGAAAGGCGUAAUGAUUUGGGCGCUGUCUCGGCAAUGCAUCCGGUGAAAUUGAAGUGCCAGUGAAGACGCUGGCUACCCGCGCCUGGACGGAAAGACCCCAUGGAGCUUUACUCCAGCUUGAUACUGGGAUUCGGUAUUGUAUGUACAGGAUAGGUGGGAGGCUGAGAAAUGGUGACGCCAGUCGCCAUGGAGCCGCUGUUGGGAUACCACCCUUGCAGUACUGGAUUUCUAACCAGCAGCCGUGAUCCGGCUGGGGGACAAUGUCAGGUGGGGAGUUUGACUGGGGCGGUCGCCUCCGAAAGGGUAUCGGAGGCGCUCAAAGGUUCCCUCAGAAUGGUCGGAAACCAUUCGAAGAGUGCAAAGGCAGAAGGGAGCUUGACUGCGACACCGACGGGUGGGGCAGGUACGAAAGUAGGACUUAGUGAUCCGGUGGUAUUAAGUGGGAAUGCCAUCGCUCAACGGAUAAAAGCUACCCUGGGAUAACAGGCUUAUCACUCCCAAGAGUUCACAUCGACGGAGUGGUUUGGCACCUCGAUGUCGGCUCAUCGCAUCCUGGGGCUGUAGUAGGUCCCAAGGGUUGGGCUGUUCGCCCAUUAAAGCGGUACGCGAGCUGGGUUCAGAACGUCGUGAGACAGUUCGGUCCCUAUCCGGCGUGGGCGUAGGAUAUUUGAGAGGAGCUGACCUUAGUACGAGAGGACCGGGUUGGACUGACCUCUGGUGCACCGGUUGUCAUGCCAAUGGCACAGCCGGGUAGCCAAGUCGGGAAGGGAUAAACGCUGAAGGCAUCUAAGCGUGAAGCCCCCCUCAAGAUGAGAUAUCCCCCGCAUAAGCGGUAAGACCCCUUGAAGACGACGAGGUAGAUAGGGCAGAGGUGGAAGUGCAGUAAUGUAUGGAGCUGACUGCUACUAAUAGGUCGAAGGCUUAACU